CAGCCGCCGCGGUAAUACAGAGGGUGCAAGCGUUAAUCGGAAUUACUGGGCGUAAAGCGUGCGUAGGCGGUGAGUUAAGUCUGCUGUGAAAUCCCCGGGCUCAACCUGGGAAUGGCAGUGGAUACUGGCUCGCUAGAGUGUGUUAGAGGAUGGUGGAAUUCCCGGUGUAGCAGUGAAAUGCGUAGAGAUCGGAGGGAACAUCUGUGGCGAAGGCGACUAUCUGGGCCAACACUGACACUGAGGCACGAAAGCGUGGGGAGCAAACAGGAUUAGAUACCCCUGUAGUCCCUGUCUCUUAUAC
rnacentral:rRNA from 1 species